rnacentral:rRNA from 1 species
CAGCCGCCGCGGUGAUACGUAGGGUCCGAGCGUUGUCCGGAAUUAUUGGGCGUAAAGAGCUUGUAGGCGGCUUGUCGCGUCGGAAGUGAAAACUUAGAGCUUAACUCUGAGCCUGCUUCCGAUACGGGCUAGCUAGAGGAAGGUAGGGGAGAAUGGAAUUCCUGGUGGAGCGGUGGAAUGCGCAGAUAUCAGGAGGAACACCAGUGGCGAAGGCGGUUCUCUGGACCUUUCCUGACGCUGAGAAGCGAAAGCGUGGGGAGCAAACAGGCUUAGAUACCCUGGUAGUCCACGCCGUAAACGGUGGGCACUAGGUGUGGGGGACAUUCCACGUUCUCCGUGCCGUAGCUAACGCAUUAAGUGCCCCGCCUGGGGAGUACGGCCGCAAGGCUAAAACUCAAAGGAAUUGACGGGGGCCCGCACAAGCGGCGGAGCAUGCGGAUUAAUUCGAUGCAACGCGAAGAACCUUACCUGGGUUUGACAUAUGCCGGAAUCAUCCAGAGAUGGGUGCGCCGUAAGGUCGGUAUACAGGUGGUGCAUGGCC